AGGUGGGACUACCCGCUGAACUUAAGCAUAUCAAUAAGCGGAGGAAAAGAAACUAACAAGGAUUCCCCUAGUAACGGCGAGUGAAGAGGGAAAAGCCCAAAUUUGUAAUCUGGCUCUUUUAUAGGAGUCCGAGUUGUAAUUUUGAGAACUGUUUUCUGUGCUGGACCAUAUACAAGUCUGUUGGAAAACAGCAUCAUUGAGGGUGAUAAUCCCGUAGAUGAUAUGGACUACCAGUGCAAUAUGAUACAGUCUCUAAGAGUCGAGUUGUUUGGGAAUGCAGCUCAAAGUGGGUGGUAAAUUCCAUCUAAGGCUAAAUAUAGGUGAGAGACCGAUAGCAAACAAGUACCGUGAGGGAAAGAUGAAAAGAACUUUGGAAAGAGAGUUAACAGUACGUGAAAUUGUUAAAAGGGAAACAUUUGAAGUUAGACUUGUUAUUAUUGGUUCAGCUCCUCUUUUUUAAUUAGGAGUUUAUUCCAAUGGUUGACAGACCAGCAUCAAUUUUUGAGUGUUAGAUAAGGGUCUUGGAGAAUGUGGCAACUUUGGUUGUGUUAUAGCUCCUGGCUUGAUAUAAUGCUUAAGAUUGAGGAACGCAGUGAGCUUUAUUUUUUGAAGUGGAUUCUUUUGAAUCUUCAUCACUACGGAUGUUGGUGUAAUAGCUUUAAAUGACC
rnacentral:rRNA from 2 species